GUUUUUAUAGUAUAGUCAAUAUUUAACUUUUUCAUAGUUAAGAUGGAUAUUUUCCUAAAAAUA
rnacentral:tRNA from 1 species